rnacentral:rRNA from 1 species
GACGAACGCUGGCGGCGUGCUUAACACAUGCAAGUCGAACGGAAAGGCCCUGCUUUUGUGGGGUGCUCGAGUGGCGAACGGGUGAGUAACACGUGAGUAACCUGCCCUUGACUUUGGGAUAACUUCAGGAAACUGGGGCUAAUACCGGAUAGGAGCUCCUGCUGCAUGGUGGGGGUUGGAAAGUUUCGGCGGUUGGGGAUGGACUCGCGGCUUAUCAGCUUGUUGGUGGGGUAGUGGCUUACCAAGGCUUUGACGGGUAGCCGGCCUGAGAGGGUGACCGGCCACAUUGGGACUGAGAUACGGCCCAGACUCCUCCGGGAGGCAGCAGUGGGGAAUAUUGCACAAUGGGCGGAAGCCUGAUGCAGCAACGCCGCGUGCGGGAUGACGGCCUUCGGGUUGUAAACCGCUUUCGCCUGUGACGAGGCGUGAGUGACGGUAAUGGGUAAAGAAGCACCGGCUAACUACGUG